rnacentral:lncRNA from 1 species
AUGAAUUGUAAAUGAACUCACUACUGGUUUGGGGAGUUAAGAUUAGCACCUAACAAAAAAUAAAUUUGAAAAUCAGUAGCUUAAAAUUAACUAUUAACCUUAAAACAAAAAGCCCACACCUCCCCUUUUUACGAAACCAAAACCACUUCAUUACCUACAAUAAACCGCACUUAUGCUUCUUGAUUAAUCAGAUCUGAAUUUCAGAACAAUUGGGAUCAAAAUUUCCUAUAACAUUCCAAAUUAGAGGUUGAUUAGGGUGAGAUAAUUUGGGUUUAAACCUUGCUAGAAAAGUGUGGCAAAAGUAAGAAAAACCAGCAACCACCCAAUGGUGGUUCUAGGGGCAGCACACCACCAUUUUCAGCCACAAAAGGGGCUAUUUUGAAAAGCACCAAAAAGAAUUGUUCAAAGGGGGCUAUCAAGGCUGGAAUUAGUAGCACAAUUUAGCAUUAAGGCUUCAAAAUGGCAGUCACCAAUUAACAGCUUUAGGGGUGGCAACCACCACCAAUGGCUGCGGUUUUAGGGCCCGAUUUGGG